AUUGAACGCUGGCGGCAUGCUUUACACAUGCAAGUCGGACGGCAGCGGGGGUGCUUGCACCUGCCGGCGAGUGGCGAACGGGUGAGUAACAUAUUGGAAUGUACCGAGUAGUGGGGGAUAACCAAUCGAAAGAUUGGCUAAUACCGCAUACGUCCUGAGGGGGAAAGCAGGGGAUCUUCGGACCUUGCGCUAUUUGAGCAGCCAAUAUCUGAUUAGCUAGUUGGUGGGGUAAAGGCCCACCAAGGCGACGAUCAGUAGCGGGUCUGAGAGGAUGAUCCGCCACACUGGGACUGAGACACGGCCCAGACUCCUACGGGAGGCAGCAGUGGGGAAUUUUGGACAAUGGGGGCAACCCUGAUCCAGCCAUGCCGCGUGUCUGAAGAAGGCCUUCGGGUUGUAAAGGACUUUUGUUAGGGAAGAAAAGGGAAGUGCUAAUACCACUUUUUGCUGACGGUACCUAAAGAAUAAGCACCGGCUAACUACGUGCCAGCAGCCGCGGUAAUACGUAGGGUGCGAGCGUUAAUCGGAAUUACUGGGCGUAAAGCGAGCGCAGACGGUUACUUAAGCAGGAUGUGAAAUCCCCGGGCUCAACCUGGGAACUGCGUUCUGAACUGGGUAGCUAGAGUAUGUCAGAGGGGGGUAGAAUUCCACGUGUAGCAGUGAAAUGCGUAGAGAUGUGGAGGAAUACCGAUGGCGAAGGCAGCCCCCUGGGAUAAUACUGACGUUCAUGCUCGAAAGCGUGGGUAGCAAACAGG
rnacentral:rRNA from 1 species